UGGUUUUUUGUGGAUACUCUGCAUAUAGACAUUCUAGACUGGAGUGAUACAUCUUGUUCAGGUUUCUAUGUUUUCAAAAUGAUAACUUGACACACCUACCAAUGCCAAUUUUUAGGAUAUAUAUCUGUAUAUCUGUGUGAACUAAGGAAAAUUCAGGUAUGAUUAAACCUACAUAUUUUGCCAGGAGAGACUGGAUAAUGGUUUUGUGCAUCUCUAAGAUGAUCAUCUUGGUGUGGGGUCCUGAUCUUCCCAGUGACUUAGCAGCACAGUAAUUUGGCUGAAAUGUUGAUGAGUUCAGACAAGAAGAAGGUGAUGAUGACAAGAGAGCGUCACGGGGAAAUUCUGCCCUGAGGAAGGAAUAGUUUGAGGCUGGAGAGAUGUGCUACCCCCGCCACUCUUUCUCAAAUGGAAAGACAACCUGUAGGCACAGAAAUCAUUGCUCUGCUUACACUGAAAUCUCCUGCUGACUUUGAGAGCUGAGCACUGGAUUUUGAUGGGAG
rnacentral:lncRNA from 1 species